GCCAUCUUAUUUUUCUACGAAUCUCAUAAGUUUUUAUUCCACAACGAACUAUAAUAAAUCACACAGGAAAUAUACAAAUGCAGCAAAAAGUUGAAACUUAAAAAAUGAUGGAAGGUUAAUUACUCAUCGAAUAAAACGUACCUGAAAUCUAUUAUAGAAGACAUUAGGCACAUCAGAAUAUAUUACAUCCACAUAAGAAGACCAAAAAUAGUUAACCAUAUGUCACUCUCUGAAUGAACACCUUGCCAUCCCUCCCCAGCAUAAUAAUGCAAACUCUUCCACUCCACAUUGCAUCCCUUCUUCAUUGUAAAACCUGUUUUUUGCUCCCAAUUAAAAAUUCAAAGGUCUCCCUUGAACACAAACCUGAAUAAUCACAUGAGCCACAAUGAAACUAACAAGGCCAUAAUGUUAAAGGAAAUCUAUAAUGUCAAUUUCACUAGAAUAUUAAAGAAGCAAAUCAGAAAGGAAGCAAAUCAGAAAUCAGAAUCAAAAAGCAAUUACCAGAAUUAGAAACCAUAAUCAAAAGUGUAAACAUUUUGCAGCCACUUAAGUAACUCAAUUGCGUCCCUGUACCUGAGAAACAGAAGUUGCUUUUUUUGAUCUUUUGUAGUGGUUGCAAUCAUAAUACCAUAAGUCCACUUAAAUUGCAAUCAUAAUACCGUAUCUACAUUAACUAGGUAGUCAAUCCUAGAUAGCCUCGCGUUGCAGCCAUAUCCGAAAAAUGGGAUAGUCAGAUACCGAGAUGGCCACUACUUUUUUGGACAAAUUACGUGAGUAAUACUAUAUAAACAUAGAGUGAAACCGACUAGAGUGAAACCGAGAGCGAACAAGAGAGAAUGAACAAGCUACACAGGUCCCAAACUCCAAAAUAAAUACCAAUGUGUCCACAGUAAGACCAUAUUGAUUAAAAAAUGCAAACUUGCUUGACUACACUAGUAAUGCAAAAUAAGUUAGGGAAGGGGGGUGAAAGAGAAGUACACAAAGAAAAAGGAGAAAACAACACUAAUUUUUAUCAAAAAUCUCUAUGAAAAUAAUAAAACUAACUAGAACAAUAAAACUAACAUAUUGAUUAAAUAAGUUAGUGUAGUAUAAAUAGAAUUUCAGCCAAGUGCAAAUCACUCAAGCACGUUAAAAAAUAUUAUGCCAUCUUAUUUUUCUACGAAUCUCAUAAGUUUUUAUUCCACAACGAACUAUAAUAAAUCACACAGGAAAUAUACAAAUGCAGCAAAAAGUUGAAACUUAAAAAAUGAUGGAAGGUUAAUUACUCAUCGAAUAAAACGUACCUGAAAUCUAUUAUAGAAGACAUUAGGCACAUCAGAAUAUAUUACAUCCACAUAAGAAGACCAAAAAUAGUUAACCAUAUGUCACUCUCUGAAUGAACACCUUGCCAUCCCUCCCCAGCAUAAUAAUGCAAACUCUUCCACUCCACAUUGCAUCCCUUCUUCAUUGUAAAACCUGUUUUUUGCUCCCAAUUAAAAAUUCAAAGGUCUCCCUUGAACACAAAC
rnacentral:lncRNA from 1 species